rnacentral:misc_RNA from 1 species
AAGUCGUAACAAGGUUUCCGUAGGUGAACCUGCGGAAGGAUCAUUACCGAAUUUGUGGAGCCGAAAGGCUUCGAAUUCCACACAGUGUUUUAAGCGGGUUGGAUCAGUGUGAAAACUGAGACGAUUUUGCGAAAAAAGCUAUUCAUACCUCGUAUGAACAAAAAUUAUAAACAAAUCAAAACUUUCAACAACGGAUCUCUUGGUUCUG